ensembl:snoRNA
UCUGGCAGAAAUUACACUCUUACCCUGGCUGAGAAUGCCGUUCACUAAUGAGAACAUUUUGAAGUACUUGUUUGCUCUGAGUCAGA